UACGUAGGCAGCGAGCGUUGUUCGGAAUUACUGGGCGUAAAGAGUGUGUAGGCGGUGCUCCCAGUCUGCUGUGAAAUCUCCUGGCUCAACUGGGAGCUUGCAGGCGAAACUGCCGUGCUGGAGUGUGGGAGAGGUGCGUGGAAUUCCUGGUGUAGCGGUGAAAUGCGUAGAUAUCAGGAGGAACACCUGUGGCGAAAGCGGCGCACUGGACCACAACUGACGCUGAGGCGCGAAAGCUAGGGGAGCAAACAGG
rnacentral:rRNA from 1 species